AUCAAAAACAUCGCCUCUUGAUACACAUAAGAGGUCCAGCCUGCCCAGUGACAUAUUUAACGGCCGCGGUAUUUUAACCGCGCAAAGGUAGCACAAGUAAUUGUCUUUUAAUUGUAGAAGUGAAUGAAAGGCAUCACGAGGAUUAAGCUGUCUCCUUUCUCCAAUCAAUGAAACUAAUCUUCUCGUGAAAAAGCGAGAAUAACCCCAUAAGACGAAAAGACCCUAUGGAGCUUUAAACAAGUAACACCUGCUUAUAAUUACCUUAGAGCACCCUGAUUACAAGUUUUUGGUUGGGGCGACCACGGAGCACAACACACCCCCCGCGUUGAAGAUACUUCGUAAAUAAACAAGCGACAGCUUUACAAAUCAAUAAAUUGACACAAUUGACCCAAUAUCUUGAUCAACGAACCCAGUUACCCUAGGGAUAACAGCGCCAUCCGCUUCAAGAGCACACAUCGACAAGCGGGCUUACGACCUCGAUGUUGGAUCCGGGCAACCUAGUGGAGUAACUUCUACUCAAGGUUCGUUUGUUCAACGAUUAAAACCCGACGUGAUCUGAGUUCAGACCGG
rnacentral:rRNA from 1 species